rnacentral:rRNA from 1 species
UACGUAGGGUCCGAGCGUUGUCCGGAAUUAUUGGGCGUAAAGAGCUCGUAGGCGGUUUGUCGCGUCUGCUGUGAAAUCCCGAGGCUCAACCUCGGGCCUGCAGUGGGUACGGGCAGACUAGAGUGCGGUAGGGGAGACUGGAAUUCCUGGUGUAGCGGUGAAAUGCGCAGAUAUCAGGAGGAACACCGGUGGCGAAGGCGGGUCUCUGGGCCGAUACUGACGCUGAGGAGCGAAAGCGUGGGGAGCGAACAGG